rnacentral:tRNA from 1 species
AAGGCACUAGUAAAACCCAUUACACCGCCUUGUCAAGGCGGAAUUGCGGGUUAAAACCCCGCGUACCUUG